rnacentral:lncRNA from 1 species
UUUGCAAUUUCGUGUAUUUGAGCGAUUGAUUUGGGUGUCAAUCGAUCGCUCACGACACCUUUUGGCUGAAGACGAAUCUGUCGAGAAAGUUUGAAGAAGAACGAAAAUGGCUGAGGAACAGGAAUGGCACGAAGCAAGCAAUCACGUCCUCUGCGCGAAUAACUGCGGCUUUUUUGGUAGCCCUACGACGCUCAACCUCUGUUCUAAGUGCUACAAAGAUCAUCGCCUGAAAGAACAACAUAUGUCGAAUGCCAAACUCGCCGUCGAAAAAAGCCUCACCCCGCCGCAAGCCCCACAACAACCUCCACCACCACUGGAAACAUCUUCUUCCUCUGGCACAUCAGU